UUCCUUUAGAGUUUGAUCCUGGCUCAGAGCGAACGCUGGCGGCAGGCUUAACACAUGCAAGUCGAGCGCCCCGCAAGGGGAGCGGCAGACGGGUGAGUAACACGUGGGAACGUACCCUUUGGUUCGGAACAACCCAGGGAAACUUGGGCUAAUACCGGAUAAGUCCGUAAGGAGAAAGAUUCAUCGCCAAAGGAUCGGCCCGCGUCUGAUUAGCUAGUUGGUAGGGUAAUGGCCUACCAAGGCUACGAUCAGUAGCUGGUCUGAGAGGAUGAUCAGCCACAUUGGGACUGAGACACGGCCCAAACUCCUACGGGAGGCAGCAGUGGGGAAUAUUGGACAAUGGGCGCAAGCCUGAUCCAGCCAUGCCGCGUGAGUGAUGAAGGCCUUAGGGUUGUAAAGCUCUUUUAGCGGGGAAGAUAAUGACGGUACCCGCAGAAAAAGCCCCGGCUAACUUCGUGCCAGCAGCCGCGGUAAUACGAAGGGGGCUAGCGUUGCUCGGAAUCACUGGGCGUAAAGCGCACGUAGGCGGCUUCUUAAGUCAGGGGUGAAAGCCUGGAGCUCAGCUCCAGAACUGCCUUUGAUACUGAGAAGCUUGAGUCCGGGAGAGGUGAGUGGAACUGCGAGUGUAGAGGUGAAAUUCGUAGAUAUUCGCAAGAACACCAGUGGCGAAGGCGGCUCACUGGCCCGGUACUGACGCUGAGGUGCGAAAGCGUGGGGAGCAAACAGGAUUAGAUACCCUGGUAGUCCACGCCGUAAACGAUGGAUGCUAGCCGUUGGCGAGCUUGCUCGUCAGUGGCGCAGCUAACGCUUUAAGCAUCCCGCCUGGGGAGUACGGUCGCAAGAUUAAAAC
rnacentral:rRNA from 1 species